CUGCCCCAUAUAAGUCUGCGUGAUGGUGCCCCUACCACGUAAGUGACACGUAAUUAAUUACAAUCAGCCUAUUAUUACAUUUUUAUCUGGUACAUCUCGCGCGUCCAUCACAGGAAGUAGUUGUAUUGUUUGUCAAAGGUUUCCGCCGCGGGAUCAUGCGAUGGCUCGUAUAAAGACGGAGCCAGGUGGACUGGACGCAAUGAAGCAGUGACCAGUAAAGAUGAAACACUCGUUUUGUUUGGCUGUCUUUGCCCUGUGCCUCUGCCUAGUGAUGGAGUCAGCACUUGUCCGCGCUGCGCCCUCGUCUUCUGUGGAUGCUCAGAUGCCUUUGAAGCGAGUCGCUCGACAAAUGCCGCCACCGCCGCCACCUCCAGAGAUGCCUAGUGGUAUGCCGGGUAUGUUAGAACCCUCUAUUUUGUUCCAAAACAUCGCUGGUAUAUCAGGCGCUACCACGCGUAACAGAAGAGAGGCGAAAGGCGGCGGUGCCAUGCCUACAAGAAAA